rnacentral:rRNA from 1 species
UAGGGAAUUUUCCGCAAUGGGCGAAAGCCUGACGGAGCAACGCCGCGUGAGCGAGGACGGCCUUCGGGUUGUAAAGCUCUGUUCUUCGGGAAGAAUGGCGGGAGGGUGAACAGCUCUCUCGUUUGACGGUACCGAAG